UACGUAGGGAGCAAGCGUUGUCCGGAUUUAUUGGGCGUAAAGAGCUCGUAGGUGGUUCGGUAAGUCGGGUGUGAAACCUCCAGGCUCAACCUCGAGACGUCGGUUGAAACCGUAUGGCUAGAGUCCGGAAGAGGAGAGUGGAAUUCCCGGUGUAGCGGUGAAAUGCGCAGAUAUCGGGAAGAACACCCGUGGCGAAGGCGGCUCUCUGGGACGGUACUGACGCUGAGACGCGAAAGCGUGGGGGAGCGAACAGG
rnacentral:rRNA from 1 species